UGUAUACCUGGUCGAGCGUAAGCUUGGCCAAACCAUGUGUGAAUCAGUGUUCUCUUCCCGGCGGAAGCUCUUGCAACCCUGGGCUUUAUUGUCUGGGCGAGCUUGGGUAACGGCUGGGGUAUUGCCUCGCAAGAGGUGAAUCAUGUUCAAUAGCAGGGAACUCAAAAGUAACAAAUUA
rnacentral:misc_RNA from 2 species